rnacentral:rRNA from 1 species
GACAGAGGAUGCAAGCGUUAUCCGGAAUGAUUGGGCGUAAAGCGUCUGUAGGCGGCCAGAUAAGUCCGCUGUGAAAUCUCGAGGCUCAACUUCGAGCUGUCGGUGGAAACUGUCUGGCUAGAGUCCGGAAGAGGAGAAUGGAAUUCCUGGUGUAGCGGUGAAAUGCGCAGAUAUCAGGAAGAACACCCGUGGCGAAGGCGGUUGCCUGGGGCUUUGCUGACGCUGAUGCGCGAAAGCGUGGGGAGCGAUCCGG